rnacentral:rRNA from 1 species
UACCUACGGGACGCAGCAGUGGGGAAUAUUGCACAAUGGGGGAAACCCUGAUGCAGCAACGCCGCGUGAAGGAAGACGGUUUUCGGAUUGUAAACUUCUGUUCUUAGUGAAGAAGAAUGACGGUAGCUAAGGAGCAAGCCACGGCUAACUACGUGCCAGCAGCCGCGGUAAUACGUAGGGGGCGAGCGUUAUCCGGAUUCACUGGGUGUAAAGGGAGCGUAGACGGCCAUGCAAGCCAGGGGUGAAAGCCCGGGGCCCAACCCCGGGACUGCCCUUGGAACUGCAUGGCUGGAGUGCGGGAGGGG